AACACAGUGAUGUGAAGNGAACCCAAAAAGACAGUCACAGUUCGGAUUGAAGGCUGAAAUUCGCCUUCAUGAAGCCGGAAUUGCUAGUAAUGGCAGGUCAGCAUACUGCCGUGAAUACGUUCCCGGGCCUUGUACACACCGCCCGUCACACCAUGAGAGUUGGGGAUACCCGAAGCCUGUGAGCCAACUGUAAAGAGGCAGCAGUCGAAGGUAGAAUCAAUGAUUGGGGUGAAGUCGUAACAAGGUAGC
rnacentral:rRNA from 1 species